CCAAUAGCGUAUAUUAAAGUUGUUGCAGUUAAAAAGCUCGUAGUUGAAUUUCGGGGUCAGUAGGUUGGUCGUGCCACGGGUAUGAACUGGUCUCACUGAUUCCUCCUUCCUGAUGAACCGUAAUGCCAUUAAUUUGGUGUUGCGGGGAGACUGGACUGUUACUUUGAAAAAAUUAGAGUGUUUAAAGCAGGCUAACGCUUGAAUACAUUAGCAUGGAAUAAUGAAAUAGGACGUUCGGUCUUAUUUUGUUGGUUUCUAAGAUUGACGUAAUGAUUAAUAGGGUUAGUUGGGGGCAUUAGUAUUCAAUUGUCAGAGGUGAAAUUCUUGGAUUUAUUGAAGACUAACUACUGCGAAAGCAUUUGCCAAGGAUGUUUUCAUUAAUCAAGAACGAAAGUUAGGGGAUCGAAGACGAUCAGAUACCGUCGUAGUCUUAACCAUAAACUAUGCCGACUAGGGAUCGGAUGAUGUUAAUUUUUUAAUGACUCAUUCGGCGCCCUACG
rnacentral:rRNA from 1 species